rnacentral:rRNA from 1 species
AUUGAACGCUGGCGGCAUGCCUUACACAUGCAAGUCGAACGGUAACGCGGGGCAACCUGGCGACGAGUGGCGAACGGGUGAGUAAUGCAUCGGAACGUGCCCAGUAGUGGGGGAUAGCCCGGCGAAAGCCGGAUUAAUACCGCAUACGACCUACGGGUGAAAGGGGGGGAUCGCAAGACCUCUCGCUAUUGGAGCGGCCGAUGCCAGAUUAGGUAGUUGGUGGGGUAAAGGCCUACCAAGCCGACGAUCUGUAGCUGGUCUGAGAGGACGACCAGCCACACUGGGACUGAGACACGGCCCAGACUCCUACGGGAGGCAGCAGAGGGGAAUUUUGGACAAUGGGCGCAAGCCUGAUCCAGCCAUGCCGCGUGCGGGAAGAAGGCCUUCGGGUUGUAAACCGCUUUUGUCAGGGAAGAAAUCUUCUGGGUUAAUACCUCGGGAGGAUGACGGUACCUGAAGAAUAAGCACCGGCUAACUACGUGCCAGCCGCCGCAGUAAAAC